AUGCAAGUCGAACGUGAAAGGGGCUUCGGCCCUUAGUAAAGUGGCGCACGGGUGAGUAACACGUGGAUAAUCUGCCCUUAUGAUCGGGAUAACAGUCGGAAACGGCUGCUAAUACCGGAUACGCUCAAAAUGAACUUUUUGAGGAAAGGUGACCUCUGCUUGCAAGUUACUGCAUGAGGAUGAGUCCGCGGCCCAUUAGCUAGUUGGUAGGGUAACGGCCUACCAAGGCAACGAUGGGUAGCCGAUUUGAGAGGAUGAUCGGCCACACUGGAACUGAAACACGGUCCAGACUCCUACGGGAGGCAGCAGUGGGGAAUAUUGCGCAAUGGGCGAAAGCCUGACGCAGCGACGCCGCGUGAGGGAUGAAGGUUUUCGGAUCGUAAACCUCUGUCAGAAGGGAAGAAACCGCACCGUGCUAAUCAGCGGUGCAUUGACGGUACCUUCAAAGGAAGCACCGGCUAACUCCGUGCCAGCAGCCGCGGUAAUACGGAGGGUGCAAGCGUUAAUCGGAAUUACUGGGCGUAAAGCGCGUGUAGGCGGUCUUUUAAGUCUGAUGUGAAAGCCCCGGGCUCAACCUGGGAAGUGCAUUGGAAACUGGGAGGCUUGAGUACGGGAGAGGAGAGUGGAAUUCCUAGUGUAGGAGUGAAAUCCGUAGAUAUUAGGAGGAACACCGGUGGCGAAGGCGGCUCUCUGGACCGAUACUGACGCUGAGACGCGAAAGCGUGG
rnacentral:rRNA from 1 species